rnacentral:misc_RNA from 1 species
GAUGAAGAACGCAGCGAGAUGCGAUAAGUAAUGUGAAUUGCAGAAUUCAGUGAAUCAUCGAAUCUUUGAACGCACCUUGCGCCUUUUGGUAUUCCGAAAGGCACACCUGUUUGAGCGUCAUGAAUACCUCAAUCUCCAUCUUUUCUUCGGAUUGAUGGGUGACUUGGAUGUUGAGCCCUGCUGGUAUGCUAUAUCAGCUGGCUUUAAACUUAUUAGCCGGCUCUGUACUGGAUCGGUUUGACUCGACGUGAUAAUAUUAUCGUUGAGGAUGCAUGUCUCAUGCAGCCGGAAAGUAUCAAAGCAGCUUCCAGCUUGCCUUUAGUGCACUUUUACAUUUUAGACCUCAGAUCAGGUGGGACUACCCGCUGAACUUAAGCAUAUCAAUAAGCGGAGGA